rnacentral:lncRNA from 1 species
UUUUUCAUGUUUCCUUACUUAAGCCAUUUCAUGGCUCCACUCCUCAAGAAAUCUCUCCACUCCUAGAAUAUAGCAUUGACAAUCACCCCUUGACUUUACCAGCAGCAAUUUGUGCUACUCGCAUAGUGUUCCAGCAAGGAAAAUUAGUUCCACAAGUCUUGGUGCAGUGGACAGAUGGUGCUCUUGAAAACGCCACUUGGGAAAAUUUUGGAGCUUUUUGUCAACAAUAUCCUGCUUUCAACCUUGAGGACAAGGUUAGUUUCCAAGAGGGGGAAAAUGAUACGGGCUUGCCAAUUGAAUUGGAUGCGAAGGACAAUUUGCCAAGAGAGGAUGAAAGAGCCAGUGCAAAGGACAAUUUGCCAAGAGAGGAUGAAGGAGCCAAAACCGUGACUAAGGAACCUAAUAAUGAAUUCGCAGAAGCAAAACAGCAGCUCAACUUUAGACCCGAGAGAGCCAAGAAACA